GCUGAGGCAGGAGAAUUGCUUGAACCUGGGAGGUGGAGGUUGCAGUGAGCUGAGAUCAUGCCACUGCACUCCAGCCUGGGUGACAGAGUAAGACUCUGUCUCAAAAAAAGUAAUUAAUUAAUUAAUUAAUUAAUUAAUUAAGAACCAGCUCUUAGCAGCAUUAUAUUUUCCAUUAUGUGAUGUUCAGAAAACCAUGGCCAAAGCUUACUCCAUUAGAAGUUCUGGGCCCAUUUCUGUCUGAGACAGGCAUGCUCAUGCCCAUUUUAUAGAUGAGGAAACUGAGAUUUAGGGAAAGGAAGUCUCACAGCCAGAAAGCAGAGGUGGGAGUCCAAAGGCUUUGCUCUGAACCACCUGACCCCAACUUGUGGGAGCCUUCUCUCUUAGGAAAGAGAGCCCUCUAGUCCUGUCUUUUUCUUUUCUUUUUUGUUUUCAGACAGUCUCACUCUGUUGCCUAGGCUGGAGUGCAGUGGCACUGUCUCGGUUCACUGCAACCUCUACCUCCAGGUUCAAGCGAUUCUCCUGCCUCAGCCUCCUAAGUACCUGGGAUUACAGGCGCAUGCCACCAUGCCCGGCUAAUUUUUGUAUUUUUAGUAGAGACAGGGUUUCACCAUGUUGGUCAGGCUGGUCUCGAACUCCUGACCUUGUGAUCUGCCUGCCUCAGCCUCCCAAAGUGCUGGGGUUACAGGCGCGAGUCACUGUGCCCAGCCUUUUUUUUUUUUUUUUUUUUGAGACAGAGUCUCACUCUGUCGCCUAGGCCAGUGGCACAAUCUCGGCUCACUGCAGCCUCUGCCUCCCGGGUUCAAGCGAUUCUCCUGCCUCAGCCUCCCAAGUAGCUGGGAUUACAGGCAUCCACCACCACACCUGGCUUAUUUUUGUAUUUUUAGUAGAGACGGGGUCUCACCACGUUGGCCAGGCUGGUCUCGAACUCCUGACCUUAUGUGAUCCGCCUGCCUCAGCCUCCCAAAGUGCUGGGAUUACAGGCAUGAGUCACCGCCCCAGCCUGAGAGUCUUUCCUAAGCCUCAUUCUCCACACACUCUAUCCUCCCUCCCCCAACCAACCAAACUGGACCGGAACAGGAUGUUACACUCUCCUUCCAAGAACUCCUGCUGAGCCAGGGAAAACCACUUCCUAGCAGGGCAGGGGUCCCAGGCAGGAAGGGACGUUGGGGGGCCUACACCAGGCAGCCACAGCCUGGGAGCAGAGCCGGAGACAUAUUCACACAGUUAGGAGAACUAGAAGCAAACCCACAGAGUUGACAAAAAGCUCUGCCUCUUACUCCCAAAUUCCCUUGUAUACCUCUCCCUGUUUUCUUCCCAUUUGGAAUCUCAAGUCCCCUCCGUCCUGAAUCUCUGCAUCCUCACGCCUCUGCUGUCCCCUCUAGAUGCCCCCCAACCUUCCCUGUCUCCAAUCCCCCUCCUCUGGAGUUGUUCCCUUUUGACCUCCACUUUCUCAGUCUCAGUUCCCCUCCUUGGGGCCUCAAUGGGCUUUUUACUGGUGACAUCCCUUGUCCCACUCCCAAGCUUCCUCCCUUCUUCAAAAGGUCACAUUUUGCCUCCAAGGACCCUGUUCCUGGAGGAGACUCCGCCCCCGCUCUGACACUCUUUCUCAUUCGUUUUCUUUCCCAACUUCCAGCCCAAAGAACCCUUUCCUAGAUCCAAAGCCCCAACCUGGGGGAUAGGGGCACUCCUAAAUCCAAUGUUGAGUCUUUGCCCCAACAAAGAUUCCUCCCCAGGUCUCACACUUUCAAGCCUACUCCCCACCCCACAAGAUCUCUCCUCUUGGAAAGACCUAUUCAGUUGCUCCCCAUUCUUUCCGAGUGUCCAUCUUACCUCCAGGUCCUCUCUCCUUUUACAGCGCUUUCCCAGACCCUUAAGUUUCAUUCCCUACAGUUGCCUCCUUUUGGUUUCCUGUGCCAGGUCUCUUCUUGAGAUCAUCCCUCUCUCACAGGCAGUCU
rnacentral:lncRNA from 10 species